UUGAAAUAGAUAAAGAACUCCAAAUCCAGCUUUGCAAGAAGGCAACACAAGGCUACUUCUGGAUCUGCUGGAGCUGGAGGGCAAAGAGUGGCCAGAUGACAUGUAGCCACAGACAUGUAGACCACAGAAGAAAUAUCACCACAGGAGAGUUAAAGGACUGAACUGCUGCGUAAGAAGAUGGAGCUUCCCCCAAAGAACUAUUGUUGAACAGGUACACUUCCCCUGUAUCCUAAUAACUUUUCUCUUCCACUACCUCUGCUGGAUGGUGGGCUAAAGGAGAAGUUAAAAGUAGGUUGCAAAAAAUUAUGCCUACAGGUGGCACCCAAUGUGGCUUAGGCAUAAUGGGUAACUCUGCUUCUAAUGUGGUAGAGAAAACUGUAGAUUAUGAGGGGUUAGCAAUGUUACUUAAGGAAAAUAGCAAAAUGGCAGCUUCAGUUGCUGGGUAGUCUCCUACUAUGUUCCUAGCAGGGGUUUUCUAGUUUUGCUUUGUAGUGUUCACAUAUACUAUUCUGAAAGUUUGGAGGGAAAGCUGAAAACUCAGGAGGUUAACUCAAUUCUCUUUUGUUAGAAAACAUUGCAGACUUGGCUAUGCAUGUAGAGUUUGUGACUAGAAGUCGAGGUGCUUAGAAAGCAAAAAGAACCAGGGGGAGAACAACAGAGUUCAAGCUUGGUGAGUAGGACCGGGAAUGGACUGCAUGGAGAAAAGGGGAAAGAAAAUAGGCUGGACAAUAAAACACUGCCCUGCCCUGCUCCACGCACUUUCGAUACCAGGUGCCCAAAGUGCCUCAGUGAGACAAGGAGCCGGGAAGAGCAAGCACAAAGGGUUAAUGUGCAACCGAGUGCACCACCAGAGGAUUUGCGUGGGCCUACACAGCCUUCCCAGUCUUUGUGCAGCAUGUGCCUGCUAAUGAUGGUAUUCUUGCCUAUAAUGAAUUGAUCUAAAGCAUUUUAAAGAAUCUGUUGUUUUGUACGGCUUACAUUUUUCCUUUGUCAAAGAAAUGCUAAAUAACUGGGCAACACAGCAUAGGGAGAUCCCACAAGAUUGGAAGGGAUUGGUGUCAGCUGUUCUAGCAGCUGGUCCAAAAAACUUAGCACAAUGUAAUUUAGCUAGGGCAAUAUAUGUUGCUAAAGACCAGCUG
rnacentral:lncRNA from 1 species